rnacentral:lncRNA from 1 species
CAAACUUGAAAUCUUCCUGCCUCAGCCUCCUGAGUUGUUGGGAUUAUAGGUGUGUACCACCACACCCAGCUCUACUCAUUUUUUUUUUUAACUGCACAAUAUUUUGUAGACUGUUAGCCAUUGAAAAACUCUGUUUUCAACAAGCCUCAUGGUCGUCCCCCGUGUCAAAGAACCAUCAUUUACUUAUCUGAUUUUUCUAAUGGUGGUAAUUGGAGUGUCUCCAAUUUUCUGCUAUUAAGAACAAGGAAGCAGAGAACAUCCUGGUCCAUAAUUUAUUUUUGGGUACCUGUGAGAGAGCAAUUUUAUAACCCAUCUUUCUAGAAGUGAAAUCACUCAAUCAAAAGGAUGCAUAUUUAAAAUACGUAAUAGAAUGGCUAACUUGCCCUUCAGGUGGACUUUCUAUGUCUAGCAUGCGACAUUCUCUCCUGAUGCACGCCUGAAGACAGUUGUCACUUGGUGCUUGCUGUGGAAAAGCAUCCCUGAGUCCUAGCUGGAAGGAGCUUCUGAGAUCUUUUGGUCUGACUUCCAGGGAAGCAACCUGAGCCUUAGGAAAGGAGGUUCCCUGCCCCUCAUCAGUACCUGUAAUUCUAGUGGCUGAGGGUCAUGCAGGGCAGAGCUUAUAAACACACUGCCCACCUUGGAAUCCAAGCCUUACUACCAUUUACUGGUUGCAUAACCUUGAAUACGUUACUUGACCUCUCUGUGCCUCAGUUUCUUUAUUCAUUUAUUUAUAAAUGCUUCUAUGUGACAAAGGCUGGGCUGAGUAGCUGCAAUAGAGGUCAUAUGGACUUAAAAAGUUUAAAAUAUUGGCUAUCUGGCCCUUUAUGCAAAAAUAAAUAUGCAGUCCCUGGCAUAGAGGUUAUAGGACAAAAAUAAAUGCUGAUAUUACUGAGAACUUA